GUAUUAUGUUGUACAUAGCGAUCUGUACUGUUAGUUUUGUUUCUGCUAUUGCAAUUACCCAUUUUCCCGUAAAAUCGCCAUUUUAGAUCUUUGCGCCCCGAUGCUCCACCUUAGCAUCAUAGUUGUUUUCGGCGUCGCUGGGAAGGGGUCAGUGCAGUGGAGGGUGAUUAGUGACUAGCAUGUUUUGCUCGAUUGCGCUGGCAAAUGCCGCCCGUACGGGUGAGGCGUUACGAGUAGAGGCAGGCGGGUUCUUAGGGCCGGGUGUCAGACUGUCGACCUGUGGACCAUUUCAUGUGGUAUCCUGUAGAUUGGGGACAACUUAUGAGUUAUUUGAUGGCAGUUGGGACUGCAAGGGGAUAUCGCUCUUUGGAUCUAAGAUCCUGUGGUUGACAGGAUGGCUUGUUUGGGAAGAGAUUAUUCGAAAAGGAAAUGGAAUGUGUAUGCGAUGCUGGUCCGGCGGGGAAGCUAUGCAGGACCACCACUUAAUGCAUGAUUUGCUAGUCUCCUGUCAGUAGGGACUGUAGUCUGUGCUGGUUACCUUUAGGUAAUAGAUAGGUGGCAACAUUGUUGGCUUGAUGGCUCAUGCUAUAUAUGUUUCUUCUAGUUGAUCAGUGGCAUGUAUGGUUUAUUGGCUUAAUGUAUUUGAUUGUGAUGUGGUAAUGGUAACAUUCCAUGUUUCACGUGCAAUAUAUUACAUAUGAAAGUUGGUCUGCUGCAAUUAUGGUCUCUAGCAAGUUACUCAUUUGUCUAUGUACUGUGAUUAGAAUGAGUUUCAGUACUUCUAAUGUGCAUUCAUUCUUGCCUAAACAGUUAUGAAUACCAUAAUAACCCUUUGUUGCUGUGACACUUGGGGUGCAAUUCAUAAACUUGUUUGUGGUUUUGGCACUUCUGUAUUAGUAAAAGAAUAUGAGCCUCAAGCCCUCAACUGUUCCAUUUCAGUUCUUUUCAAGUGCUGGUAUACUAAUGUUUUAUGGCAGUCUGCUUCUUCUUUAUUACUUAGGUUUUGGCCAACAGAAAUGGGUUUUAACUCUCUUAUGUCAACUUACUUUAGUAUCAGUUGUAGCUCAGUAUGGUUAUCAAUUUAUUAAGGUUUUAUUUGACCCUAAAUCUACUACUUUUUGACACUUCGGUUGGCUGUACUUAUUUACUCCCUCCGUCCGGCUUUGAUCUUCGCAUGAGCAUUUUGGGUUUGUCCCACUUUGAUCCGCGUCUAAGCAUGGGCAUUCAAAUUCUUGCUUUGGAAAACACAGCGACGAUGGGCUGGUGCAUUGACAGCAUUGUUCCAUGGCGCGUCAUAACGGCUCGGCAGGGAUGGUCCCCCACAUGCAUUGGUGGAGCACCGCACUAGCUACAGAAACAAAGCAUCAAAGCAAUAAAUGAUGACAUGUGUGCUACUGAAUUAACUCAGGAUGGACUGCUCCUUGGUCUUGCCGCUGAAGGCUCCGGCGUAGAUCAAAGCUGGAAGGAGCGAGUAGAAUGGUUCCACUCCUAAGCUGCCUUUACAAUUUUUUGAUGCGGUGUUCUGCAGGUAAGGUCAUUAUGGUUAGAGUCAGUGUUCUCAAUGAUGCUCUGAAGAGCAUGUACAAUGCUGAAAAGUGUGGAAAGCGGCAAGCCUUGAUUAGGCCGUCAUCCAAGGCUACAUAGGCGAGUUUGAGUAUGUGGAUGAUCACAAGGCAGGGAAAAUUGUGGUUGAACUGAAUGGUUGACUGAACAAGUGUGGUGUCAUCAGUCCUCGCUUUGAUGUUGGAGUGAAGGAAAUUGAGGGAUCGACGGCCAGGCUUCCAUCUCGUCGGUUUGGUUAUAUCGUGCUAACUACAUUUGCUGGCAUCAUGGACCAUGAGGAAGCCAGCGGAAGAAUGUUGGUGGCAAAGUUCUCGGCUUCUUCUACUAAUAAGAAGGAAAUUUUGCAAGGAACAUCAGUUUUUCUUUUUGUCUGAAUAACUGCAGACAGGAACUUAUGGAGAAUCAUCAUGUUUGUUAUAUUGUUUUGGUUUGUGAUAUGUGAGGGUAGUUGAAGGCUCGCUUGUGACUUUGUGAGACACCAAAAUGAGUACAGCUUAUAUAGUUGGCAAUUGUAUUUUUAUCAAAUUAAGGUUUGCUGCUUU